AUUGAACGCUGGCGGCAGGCUUAACACAUGCAAGUCGAGCGGAGAUGAGGUGCUUGCAUCUUAUUUUAGCGGCGGACGGGUGAGUAAUGCUUAGGAAUCUGCCUAUUAGUGGGGGACAACAUUCCGAAAGGAAUGCUAAUACCGCAUACGCACUACGGGGGAAAGCAGGGGAUCUUCGGACCUUGCGCUAAUAGAUGGGCCUAAGUCGGAUUAGCUAGUUGGUGGGGUAAAGGACUACCAAGGCGACGAUCUGUAGCGGGUCUGAGAGGAUGAUCCGCCACACUGGGACUGAGACACGGCCCAGACUCCUACGGGAGGCAGCAGUGGGGAAUAUUGGACAAUGGGCGGAAGCCUGACCCAGCCAUGCCGCGUGUGUGAAGAAGGCCUUUUGGUUGUAAAGCACUUUAAGCGAGGAGGAGGCUACCUGGAUUAAUACUCUAGGAUAGUGGACGUUACUCGCAGAAUAAGCACCGGCUAACUCUGUGCCAGCCGCCGCAGUAACAC
rnacentral:rRNA from 1 species